UUACUAUAAAUUCAGACCUAAAUUAUGAUUUUAUCACCAAUAUGUCUGUUGAAUUUACUUGACGCUUUCUUAAUUCAUGCAAAACAAUGUGUUGUUUACACGAUUAAACCACUAACUAAUCUGUCUUUAUCUCAUGUAGUACUGAAGGAGCACUAGAGGCAUCUAUGUCAGAGUUAUAUGAAUACACUUUUUGGGUUAUGGCUGCUGAUCUGAGCACGGAGUAUACUUUGGGUAAGGCUUCCUGGAUCUGAUACCUCUGCUGAUGACACAGACAACAAUCGAAUAACAUGGGAAAACAAUCGACGGUCUUCAUAGGCUGUGUCCAUAAGAUUCCAUAAGUUUGUUAACUCUUUACCUAACAGGUGAAGCUGCAAUAAGAAUAUUCAGAAAUAUAUCAUGAUUGUGCUUUGCUUCACCAAAGUCUACCUUUGGAAGAUAAGGGAAAAGUGGCUGAAGCAGAGUUGAAAAAUUCAAAAAGUAGAAUUUGGAUUUAUCUAGUCCUCUAUUAUCUUUGCAUCUGCUGGACUUUUAUUUGCUUUCACCAAGAUUUGGAUUUUCAUAGUCAUUUUUAAGUUGCUGGUUUUUUCUGCUCUUAUAUCUACUUUUUCAAAUUUUAAUACUUUGCAACUAAAUUAUGUUUUGCUGCAAUGCAGGGGGCACUAAUUAGUUCGUUUAAUUGAAGACAAAUUCAACAGAACAUGCAAUAUCAGAUUUCACCUUGUCAAGCCGCUUUUGCUUUUCUUGCUCGAGGGAAUUCACCGUGCUGUUGAGUUUAACCAAGACAUGGUUGCUUAUGUUUUUUGAAAUCCCACACAGAUCAUUUAAGCUUGGGUGAACUUCACCAAUGAUAUUGGUUGAAUCCAGUCCUAAUAUUGUAGACAGCUUGUGGACUGUAUCUAUAUAAUGUUCCACUUUCUGGAGCCUUUCAUUCUUUUAAAGUAAGCAAUUCAAAGAAAUUUUCUGAAUUUGGCCUUGCACAGCUCGGAACUGGUUCAUCCUCUCUUCUUUCCUCGACUUCAUCUCCUGCAGAGCUGGUGUGAUUGAGUCAAGCUGCUCUUUCAGUGUUCCUGCCAUUCUAUCUGGCUGAUAAG